rnacentral:rRNA from 1 species
GGCCUACGGGCCGCAGCAGUGGGGAAUUUUGGGCAAUGGGCGCAAGCCUGACCCAGCAACGCCGCGUGAAGGAAGAAGGCUUUCGGGUUGUAAACUUCUUUUCUCAGGGACGAAGAAAGCGACGGUACCUGAGGAAUAAGCCACGGCUAACUACGUGCCAGCAGCCGCGGUAAUACGUAGGUGGCAAGCGUUAUCCGGCUUUAGUGGGUGUAAAGGGCGUGUUGGCGGGAAAGCAUGUCAGGUGUGAAAACCAAGUGCUCAACCUUUGGCCUGCCUUU